CAGACCUUCAGCUGCUCAUCUCAUUUCUGUCUCCAGCCAUGACUCCCACCUUCCAUCACUCCUGCCACCUCUGAUCAGGAGCCUUUCGUGAGUUCUGGAAUGCAGGCUCCAAAAUACAGCUCUUCAUGAAGCAACUCUGCUUGGCCGGGCAGGAAGGGAGUGCAUCGCUGCCUUACUGGGGUACGUUCCUUGGCCUCUGGGGGACACUCCAACUGCCACGGUGAUCCCCCUGUUGGUCUGUGAGGAUUUCAGGGGGUCCUGGUGCCCGAAAAGCUGACCCAGUGAAUGGGGGCCACCAUCCCACCACGGCUCCCAGGGCACUAAGGGCUUUUCAAAGCACAAUGAAAAUGCUGCCCCCUUAAAUCCACCUGGUUGUGGGUAUGGAGGCUAUGGGAACCCUCUGUCAGGACUGGCAUUGGAUGUGUGAGAUCGCAGAGCCCGUCAGAAGGGCUCAGGGUAGAGCCGCCCUUGAGGGCUGGGUCAUGGUGGCCUCUCGGGGAAGUUUGGGACAGGGGCCCGGGAGCCCCAGCAGCAGGGAGGAGUCAGGCCCUGAGGCUCAGGGACUGGAAUCCGUCAGCUCACCCCCAUUUUCCUUUGCGGAUGCAAUGCCAGCGUCCAGAAGAAGAAUGCAAGAGGCCAGAUGGCAUACAACCUGGCCCUGGAAAGUGGGGAUGAGCCCGUCACCUCGCUCUUUGCUGCUAAGCUUGGCCUGGAUGAACGCUAAGCCUGAGAGCCCCAUGGGCAUCAUUCAGAGAAGUCACCCAGCUCCGGCUGUGCUGUGUUCGCUUCCUUCCAAAUGCAUAUUUGAGGUUUGGAAAUCGAGCUUGAGAGCCACUCAUAAGAUUUUAAAAAUUAUGUGACAGUGUAAGCCACCCAUGCCCACACUCCCUGAGUAUUUCCCCAAACGCCCUGGAUCCUGAUGAACCUAGUGUACACUAGUGGUGUGUUGCUGCUUGUCUUUGAAUUUGCUCUUGAAUCUUAAUUUAUUUCUCAGUACACAGUAAUUGCAUACUGUUGUUGUUCAGUCUUUAAGUCGUGUCCAACUCUUUGUGACCCAGUGGACUGUAGCAUGCCUGGUUCCUCCGUCCUUCACUCUCUCCCAGAGUUUACUCAGAUUAGUGUCCCUUGAGUCGGUGAGCUAUCUCACCAUCUCCUCCUCUGCCACCCCCUUCUCCUUUUGCCUUCAGUUUUUCCCGGUCUUUUCCAAAAAUUGCAUAUGGUUCUAAGCAAAGAAGUGUAAAAUCUCGUGAAGUCUCCCUCCCACCCCCGCGCCAUGACCACUCACGCCCCUCCUCACACCACCAGUGACCUCCGUGUCAGUUGUGUGUUUCCAGAAGUAGCAUAGGAUUAUAUAAGCAAAGUGUAUGUCGUAUGUGUAUGUGUUCGUGUAGAGUACACGUAAACGUUAAGUGAAAGUAACACACCUAUAUUCUGUCCCCUCUUCUAAGACAAAUAGUGGGAAACCACAUACUGCUCUGCAUGUUAUUUGCUUAAUAUAUCUAGUAAAUUGGUUCCAAAUUAGUACAUAAAGAUUGAGCUUAUUAGAGUCUUUCCCUAUGAAGCUGAACUCAUCACUAUUCGUAUUGUUAUGGCUUGUUCUCUGGUUGACAGGUAAGCUUCAAAUAAACCAGUUACAGGAAUGUGAAA